AGUGAACGCUGGCGGUAGGCCUACACAUGCAAGUCGAACGGCAGCACAGUAAGCGCUUGCUCUUACGGGUGGCGAGUGGCGGACGGGUGAGGAAUACAUCGGAAUCUACUUUUUCGUGGGGGAUAACGUAGGGAAACUUACGCUAAUACCGCAUACGACCUACGGGUGAAAGCAGGGGAUCUUCGGACCUUGCGCGAUUGAAUGAGCCGAUGUCGGAUUAGCUAGUUGGCGGGGUAAAGGCCCACCAAGGCGACGAUCCGUAGCUGGUCUGAGAGGAUGAUCAGCCACACUGGAACUGAGACACGGUCCAGACUCCUACGGGAGGCAGCAGUGGGGAAUAUUGGACAAUGGGCGCAAGCCUGAUCCAGCCAUACCGCGUGGGUGAAGAAGGCCUUCGGGUUGUAAAGCCCUUUUGUUGGGAAAGAAAAGCAGCAGGUUAAUACCCCGCUGUUCUGACGGUACCCAAAGAAUAAGCACCGGCUAACUUCGUG
rnacentral:rRNA from 1 species